AUGGCGGCGACAUCAGAUGCGUUUUCAACGAACCUCGGGUCCCAAGGGAGAGAUGAUGAUCUCGGUGACUUCUUCGACAAGUUGGAUCUCCAUGAGGAGGAGUUUGAUGACGUUGUAGUUGAAGAGGAAGCUCCAGAGCUGCUGGAGGAGAUUCGUUGGGUUGCCCUAGCUAGGGUUCAGACCAUGAAAAAUUUCAGCCAAUCGGCCUUCUACAAAGACAUGCGGGCGGCGUGGAAUUGUUCCCAGUUGGUUCGCUUCCGGCCAAUUGGCCCUAAUCUGUUUGUGGUUCAAGUUUAUUGUCUUGGUGAUUGGGAUCGCAUCAUGGGACAAGGACCGUGGCUGUUCCGCAACAUGGCGGUUCUGUUAGUGCCAUAUGAUGGGUUCACAAACACUGAAGAGGUGCCAAUAGAUUACAUGCCUAUCUGGCUCCAGAUCCAUAAGCUACCAGAUGGGUAUUGCAGACAUGAUCUGAUUACCAAGUUGCUCCGUUCUGCGGGUGAGGUCCUUGAAACCAGGCUUAAUGGUAACUCCAGAGGGGAUUACGUUCGGGUCAGAGUGAAACAUGACAUCAGGAAGCCGCUCACCAAAUUUGUGAGCAUUGUCAAGGGAGAAGCACGUAAGGUUUAUGCAGUAAGAUAUGAAAAGCUGGCAAGAUUCUGUAGCGCGUGUGGUAUCAUUGGCCAUGGGCAUAAGGAG
rnacentral:rRNA from 1 species